GACAGAGGGUGCAAGCGUUGUUCGGAAUUACUGGGCGUAAAGGGCGUGUAGGCGGUAGGGUGUGUCUGACGUGAAAGCCCUCGGCUCAACCGAGGAAAUGCGUCGGAAACUACCUUGCUGGAGUGCGAGAGAGGGUGGCGGAAUUCCUAGUGUAGAGGUGAAAUUCGUAGAUACUAGGAGGAACACCAGAGGCGAAGGCGGCCACCUGGCUCGUAACUGACGCUGAGACGCGAAAGCGUGGGGAGCAAACAGG
rnacentral:rRNA from 1 species